rnacentral:rRNA from 1 species
CCUACGGGUGGCUGCAGUGAGGAAUAUUGGUCAAUGGGCGCGAGCCUGAACCAGCCAAGUAGCGUGAAGGAUGACUGCCCUACGGGUUUUAAACUUCUUUUAUAAAGGAAUAAAGUUAGGCACGUGUGACUUUUUGUAUGUACUUUAUGAAUAAGGAUCGGCUAACUCCGUUCCAGCAGCCGCGGUAAUACGGAGGAUACGAACGUUAUUCGGAUUUAUUGGGUUUAAAGGGAGCGUAGAUUGGUUGUUAAGUCAGUUGUGAAAGUUUGCGGCUCAACCGUAAAAUUGCAAUUGAUACUGGCAGUCUUGAGUACAGUUGAGGUAGGCGGAAUUCGUGGUGUAGCGGUGAAAUGCUUAGAUAUCACGAAGAACUCCGAUUGCGAAGGCAGAUUACUAAACUGCCACUGACAUUGAUGCUCGAAAGUGUGGGUAUCAAACAGGAUUAGAUACCCCUGUAGUC